UACAGAGGGGGCGAGCGUUGUUCGGAAUUACUGGGCGUAAAGGGCGCGUAGGCGGCCUUCUAAGUCGAACGUGAAAUCCCCGGGCUCAACCCGGGAACUGCGUCCGAUACUGGGAGGCUUGAAUCCGGGAGAGGGAUGUGGAAUUCCAGGUGUAGCGGUGAAAUGCGUAGAUAUCUGGAGGAACACCGGUGGCGAAGGCGGUCUUCUGGACGGUGACUGACGCUGAGGCGCGAAAGCCAGGGGAGCAAACGGG
rnacentral:rRNA from 1 species